rnacentral:rRNA from 1 species
CGACCGGCGCACGGGUGAGUAACACGUAUCCAACCUGCUGAUGACUCGGAGAUAGCCUUUCGAAAGAAAGAUUAAUACCCGAUGGCAUAGUUCUUCCGCAUGGUAGAACUAUUAAAGAAUUUCGGUCAUCGAUGGGGAUGCGUUCCAUUAGGUUGUUGGCGGGGUAACGGCCCACCAAGCCUUCGAUGGAUAGGGGUUCUGAGAGGAAGGUCCCCCACAUUGGAACUGAGACACGGUCCAA